AGCUCACUACAACCCCAGCCUCUUGGACUCAAGCCAUCCUCCUACCUCAGUCUCCCAAAGUACUGGGAUUAUAGGUGUGAGCCACCAUGCAUGGCCCCACAGAUGCUUAACUUCUAUCUCACCUUCCCCCAAAAGGGCAUGAAGGCAGCACCUGGGAUGCAGAGUGUUGGCGAGGACACACUCCGCUGCCUUUAUGGUGCUCUCUGCCCAGUGCCUGGGGUGCAGCAGGAGCCCCAGGCCUUGCUGGGUAUCAAGGUCACCGCCCCCAGCAGAACCCAGCCUGCUACUCUUGGUGCAAAGGGGCCUGAGGGAGCUGCCCCACUGCCCCACAGUGGAACGUGAGGCACAGACGGCACUCAGGAAGAAGGGGGCUGGCGCACACAUGAACGGCCCUGCCCCAGCGAGCACAAAGCUGUUUAUGCUUCCCGUCCUUCCUCGAGGGUUUGGGGUGGCAAUCGCACCAUGGAAGCCCGCCAAGCCUCCUGACUCCCUGGCAGCCCUGGUGAAUGGUAUCCCACUCAACAGCUAGAAGGGUGGCUGAGGGUUGUGGCGGGGGCCCGGGGGACUGCAUCUCAGUGCUUCACAUGGCCUCGUCAUAAAGCAGGGCAGCCCUGGGCCUAUCAGGCGGCUGGCAGGGCUGACGGGAGGUCCUGCCCUCCAGAGGACUCUCCCUAGAUAAGCCACUUACAGAGUGUCGAUGGCAGCAUCCUUCACUGAGAGGUCACCUUGGUCCAUUAUUUGAGCAAUUUCACCUACAGACAAAUGAAGUAAGAGACACUGAAAAGACACAGGUGGCCACAGGAACUUUUCUUCCCCUGCAGGAAAUUUGACAUCAGUGACCCUGGAUGACCUCCCUCCUAUGAAAUCUCCAUCACAGACAGCAGGAGUGGAGUCCAUCUACAGGGCAAAGCGAGGCCAAUAAAAUCAAACACUAAUAAAAUAUGCCUGAAAAAACCCUUAAUAGAAAAACUGAGCCUCUAAAACCUGGCUGUGGCAUCACAUCAGAUGCUGUGAGAUGGCUGGAAACACAGUGCAGACUUGGUUUGUGAGAAGGAGACCCACUAUGGCUAUAGACAACUUUCCUACCAAGAGGUAAGUACCCUGCACGGACUGUAAUGUAAAGUCAGGGCCACCAUAUUGCCCGAGUGGUUCUCCCAGAGACCUGAUUUAUCUUUUAUUUUUCUUUUUUGAGACGAAGUUUUACUCUCGUUGCCCAGGCUACAGUGUAACGGCGUGAUCUCAACUUACCA